rnacentral:rRNA from 1 species
UCCUACGGGGGGCAGCAAUUAGGAAUCUUGCGCAAUGGGCGAAAGCCUGACGCAGCGACGUCGCGUGACCGAUGAAGUCUUUCGGGAUGUAAAGGUCUUUUGCAGGGGAAGAAGGAUGUGACGGUACCCUGCGAAUAAGCCCCGGCUAACUACGUGCCAGCAGCCGCGGUAAUACGUAGGGGGCGAGCGUUGUCCGAAUUCACUGGGCGUAAAGCGCGCGUAGGCGGAUUUUUAAGUUGGAGGUGAAAUCCCGAGGCUCAACCUCCGAACUGCCCCCAAAACUGGAAGUCUUGAGGUAUGGAGAGGGAAGUGGAAUUCCUGGUGUAGCGGUGAAAUGCGUAGAUAUCAGGAGGAACACCCGUGGCGAAGGCGGCUUCCUGGCCAUAUCCUGACGCUGAGGUGCGAAAGCUAGGGGAGCGAACGGGAUUAGAUACCCCGGUAGUCCA